rnacentral:precursor_RNA from 13 species
GGGGGACUGUGAUGCUUAGCACAGUGGGCGCUCAAUAAAUGUUGGUUGAAUUAAGCUGCGUUAAAUUCAAUGGGUAUUUACUGAGCCCUCACUCUGUGCCAGACACUGAGAGGGAUC